GAUGAAGAACGCAGCGAAAUGCGAUAAGUAGUGUGAAUUGCAGAAUUCAGUGAAUCAUCGAAUCUUUGAACGCACAUUGCGCCCCUUGGUAUUCCAUGGGGCAGGCCUGUUCGAGCGUCAUUUGUACCUUCAAGCUUUGCUUGGUGUUGGGUGUUUGUCUCGCCUUUGCGUGUAGACUCGCCUUAAAAUAAUUGGCAGCCGGCGUAUUGAUUUCGGAGCGCAGUACAUCUCGCGCUUUGCACUCAUAACGACAGCGUCCAAAAGUACAUUUUACACUCUUGACCUCGGAUCAGGUAGGGAUACCCGCUGAACUUAAGCAUAUCAAUAAGCGGAGGA
rnacentral:misc_RNA from 1 species